rnacentral:rRNA from 1 species
AUUGAACGCUGGCGGCAUGCCUUACACAUGCAAGUCGAACGGCAGCGCGGACUUCGGUCUGGCGGCGAGUGGCGAACGGGUGAGUAAUGCAUCGGAACGUACCUUUCAGUGGGGGAUAACGUAGCGAAAGUUACGCUAAUACCGCAUAUUCUGUGAGCAGGAAAGCAGGGGAUCGCAAGACCUUGCGCUGAUUGAGCGGCCGAUGUCAGAUUAGCUAGUUGGUGGGGUAAAGGCUCACCAAGGCGACGAUCUGUAGCGGGUCUGAGAGGAUGAUCCGCCACACUGGGACUGAGACACGGCCCAGACUCCUACGGGAGGCAGCAGUGGGGAAUUUUGGUCAAUGGGGGCAACCCUGAUCCAGCCAUGCCGCGUGAGUGAAGAAGGCCUUCGGGUUGUAAAGCUCUUUCGGCCGGGAAGAAAUCGCAUGGGUUAAUACCUAGGGCUCAUGACGGUACUGUAAGAAUAAGCACCGGCUAACUACGUGCCAGCCGCCGCGGUAA